CUGGGAAUGAUGCACACUUCAUAACUCCUGACUGUUAAUGAUGGUGUUAGUAUUCAUACUGUCUGAUCCAG
ensembl:snoRNA Small nucleolar RNA SNORD41